rnacentral:tRNA from 1 species
GUCUAUGUAGAUUAUUGUAAAUCGUGAUGCUGUUAACUUCAAGAAGGAAUUUUAUUUUCCGUAGUCG